GUCAAGAAAAGAAGAUACCAUUACGACUUUUUUUUUAUUCUUUAAAAGAGAUUAUACGACUAGGUGAAGAUCUGACAUCGCGGAAUUCUUCAAGGAUAACGCAACUUUUCUGCCAAACGAGGUCGUAAUUGCUGCUGUAUUGUGCAUCCCAAGUACCCCCUGCAUUCUUAUCAAGGAUUGCUGUCAUUCAAGAACUUAUCAUUUCCUCCCCCAUUGUGGCUGAGCUACACAUUCUCUUCAUUUUAUUUU